GGCCCUUGAUGUUGAUUCUGUGGCACUGCACCACAUAUUGGUCUAUGGAUGGAAACACUUUAAUUAGGUUUAUGAUGUGUUGGAUGGGGUGAUGUUCAAAUAGCACAUUACGGUGGAUAUUAGAAAAUUGCACCUUUCUUAUCAAUGGUUGCCUGUCACAGAGAUAAUAUCCAAUCUGAUCAUUUUAAGGUACAACAUAGUGGUGUUCGGAGGUUCACGGAAGGUACAGCUGACUAAAAUUUUUAAAUUGAACUACUGGUUUACAUGUUGUUUACAUUUUUAGUUUUGCUUGGAAUAUAACAUUUUUCAUUCCUAUCCUCAAUCAGGUUUUGUACCUCAAUGCGGCUGGGAAUAAUAAGGCAGAGACUGGUUUGAGGUUUUUCAUGGAGAGUGUGCAGAAACAUGGAUGGCCAUCAAGAUUACACAAUGACCAAUGUGUAGAAAAUGUGGAGAUAGCAAGAUCCAUGUUCACUUAGCGAGGAACAGGUCAUGGCAGCUUUAUAGCUGGGAAAAGUGUGCACAACCAAAGAGUGGAAUGACUAUGGAGAGAUGUGUGGAACACUGUAACAUCUCAGUACUACAACAUCCUUCACACCUUGGAGGAAGUGGGGUUCGAGACCUCUCAAAU